CCUGCCCAUAAAGGUGUUACACAUAUGGCUGCUGUGGCACAUGUGUGUGUCAACAGAUGGCAGAGAGGACAGAUGCUAUGUCUACACCCAGUGUUCUGACCUACUUAUGAACAUCUGAAUAAUUAGUAGCCUAAGAUU